rnacentral:rRNA from 1 species
AUUGAACGCUGGCGGUAGGCCUAACACAUGCACGUCGAGCGGUGCGUCGGACGGGCGCGUAAUGCCUAGGAAUCUUCCCGGUAGUUGUGGAUAACGUCCGGAAACGGGCGCUAAUCCCGCAUACUAUCAGAUGAGCCUAGGUCGGAUUAGCUCGUUGGUGGGGUAAAGGCCUACCAAGGCGACGAUCCGUAACUGGUCUGAGAGGAUGAUCAGUCACACUGGAACUGAGACACGGUCCAGACUCCUACGGGAGGCAGCAGUGGGGAAUAUUGGACAAUGGGCGAAAGCCUGAUCCAGCCAUGCCGCGUGUGUGAAGAAGGUCUUCGGAUUGUAAAGCACUUUAAGUUGGGAGGCGUUACCAACAGAAUAAGCACCGGCUAACUUCGUGCCAGCAGCAGCGGUAAUUC